rnacentral:tRNA from 1 species
GGAUUGUAGCUCAGUGGUAGAGUGCUAGCCUUGCGCGCGAGAGGCCCUGGGUUUGAUCCUCAGCACCA